AUUGAACGCUGGCGGCAGGCUUAACACAUGCAAGUCGAGCGGAGAUGAGGUGCUUGCACCUUAUCUUAGCGGCGGACGGGUGAGUAAUGCUUAGGAAUCUGCCUAUUAGUGGGGGACAACAUUCCGAAAGGAAUGCUAAUACCGCAUACGUCCUACGGGAGAAAGCAGGGGAUCUUCGGACCUUGCGCUAAUAGAUGAGCCUAAGUCGGAUUAGCUAGUUGGUGGGGUAAAGGCCUACCAAGGCGACGAUCUGUAGCGGGUCUGAGAGGAUGAUCCGCCACACUGGGACUGAGACACGGCCCAGACUCCUACGGGAGGCAGCAGAGGGGAAUAUUGGACAAUGGGCGGAAGCCUGAUCCAGCCAUGCCGCGUGUGUGAAGAAGGCCUUUUGGUUGUAAAGCACUUUAAGCGAGGAGGAGGCUACCUAGAUUAAUACUCUGGGAUAGUGGACGUUACUCGCAGAAUAAGCACCGGCUAACUCUGUGCCAGCAGCCGCAGUAAUAC
rnacentral:rRNA from 1 species